rnacentral:rRNA from 1 species
UACGGGGGGUGCAAACGUUGCUCGGAAUCAUUGGGCGUAAAGCGCACGUAGGCGGCUCGUUAAGUCGGAUGUGAAAGCCCUGGGCUUAACCCAGGAAGUGCAUACGAAACUGGCGAGCUUGAGUAUGGAAGAGGGUCGCGGAAUUCCCGGUGUAGAGGUGAAAUUCGUAGAUAUCGGGAGGAACACCAGUGGCGAAGGCGGCGACCUGGGCCAAUACUGACGCUGAGGUGCGAAAGCGUGGGGAGCAAACAGG